rnacentral:rRNA from 1 species
AUUGAACGCUGGCGGCAGGCCUAACACAUGCAAGUCGAACGGCAACAGGAAACAGCUUGCUGUUUCGCUGACGAGUGGCGGGCGGGUGAGAAAUGUAUGGGAAACUGCCCGAUGGAGGGGGAUAACUACUGGAAACGGUAGCUAUUACCGCAUAUCGUCGCAAGAGCAAAGAGGGGGACCUCCAGGCCUCUUGCCCUCAGAUGCGCCCAGAUGGGAUUUGCUAGUAGGUGGGGUAACGGCUCACCCAGGCGACGAUCCCUAGCUGGUCUGAGAGGAUGACCAGCCACACUGGAACUGAGACACGGUCCAGACUCCUACGGGAGGCAGCAGUGGGGAAUAUUGCACAAUGGGCGCAAGCCUGAUGCAGCCAUGCCGCGUGGAUGAAGAAGGCCUUCGGGUUGUAAAGUACUUUCAGCGGGGAAGAAGGGAGUAAAGUUAAUACCUUUGCUCAUUGACGGUACCCACAGAAGAAGCACCGGCUAACUCCGUG